CCCGGGGGUGGGGGGGCUUCUUGUUAGCAGAGACUUCUGGCCAGGCCAGGGCCUGGGGAGGGGGCCUCGGUACAGUUUUCUCCUGCGGUGUGGUUCGCUCUUUUGUCUUCCAGGAUGGGUUCUGCAUGGGAAAGGAGCUGGGAGCUGGGCCUUGACUGCCCAUGUGUUCGCUGGGCACUGCCAGCACAAACACGGACCAAGCACCUUCUCCGAGCUAGACCCUGGGGAUCCAGAGGUGAACACCAGAGACACGGUUCCACCCCCUCAGAUCUUCACACGAGAAUAUACUUUAUCGCAGUCUCAGCGAAGGAGUGAGCUCCCCGUCCUGGGAGGUGGCUCUGCCUGGCCGCAUCCCCAGGACUCCUGGCCCGGUCUUCUCUUUGGAGCCCUGGUGACUCUGGUCUCUGGCCACAGUGGCACAGGGAGCAGCCUCUGGUGGUUUUCUGGAACUCUGGACCAUUCCCCAAAGACCUCAUCUUUCCCAACUGCUAAGAUGGAGCCUCCUGUGGAUAAAGGACCCUCCUGGUUGGCGCUCA